rnacentral:lncRNA from 1 species
UGGCUCACACCAGGCUGGUAACGGGGGGUCUCUCUCCCCCACGGUGCGGGGUGCCCAGGACGGGGCCAUGCCCACCGGCUUCCCACCCCGAUGGCUUCUCGGUCCCCCCGGCUCCCCCAGCCCUGCUGGAAGCGUUGCGGCGCGGGAACUGGACGUCAGCCGAGCCGUCCCCCCGCUGCCGGUGCAGCGGGCCAGGGGCUCACAGGAUGCUGCCCGACUGCCCCGAGGGGGCCGGGGGGCUCCCACCACCCCAGGUGCAAAGGGGCACAGGCGACAUCCUGCAGAACCUGACGGGCAGGAACAUCUCUGACUACCUGGUGAAGACCUACCCCCAGAUCAUCCGCUGGGGGCUGAGGAACAAGAAGUGGGUGAAUGAGCAGAGGUGAGCCCGGGGAGGGGCUGGGGUCUCAAGCAGACGGGGCAGGGGGAAGGCAGGAUCUCGCCUGUGGGCUUGG